rnacentral:rRNA from 1 species
GGUUAAGUGACUAAGCGUACACGGUGGAUGCCUAGGCAGUCAGAGGCGAUGAAGGGCGUGCUAAUCUGCGAAAAGCGUCGGUAAGGUGAUAUGAACCGUUACAACCGGCGAUACCCGAAUGGGGAAACCCAGUGUGUUUCGACACACUAUCAUGUCAUGAAUACAUAGUGGCAUGAGGCGAACCGGGGGAACUGAAACAUCUAAGUACCCCGAGGAAAAGAAAUCAACCGAGAUUCCCCCAGUAGCGGCGAGCGAACGGGGAGGAGCCCAGAACCUGAAUCGGUUUGUGUGUUAGUGGAAGCGUCUGGAAAGUCGCGCAGUAAAGGGUGAUAGCCCCGUACACUAAAAUGCACAGGUCGUGAGUUCGAUGAGUAGGGCGGGACACGUGACAUCCUGUCUGAAUAUGGGGGGACCAUCCUCCAAGGCUAAAUACUCCUGACUGACCGAUAGUGAACCAGUACCGUGAGGGAAAGGCGAAAAGAACCCCGGCGAGGGGAGUGAAAUAGAACCUGAAACCGUGUACGUACAAGCAGUGGGAGCACCUUCGUGGUGUGACUGCGUACCUUUUGUAUAAUGGGUCAGCGACUUAUAUUUUGUAGCAAGGUUAACCGUAUAGGGGAGCCGUAGGGAAACCGAGUCUUAACUGGGCGAAUAGUUGCAAGGUAUAGACCCGAAACCCGGUGAUCUAGCCAUGGGCAGGUUGAAGGUUGGGUAACACUAACUGGAGGACCGAACCGACUAAUGUUGAAAAAUUAGCGGAUGACUUGUGGCUGGGGGUGAAAGGCCAAUCAAACCGGGAGAUAGCUGGUUCUCCCCGAAAGCUAUUUAGGUAGCGCCUCGUGAACUCAUCUUCGGGGGUAGAGCACUGUUUCGGCUAGGGGGCCAUCCCGGCUUACCAAACCGAUGCAAACUCCGAAUACCGAAGAAUGUUAUCACGGGAGACACACGGCGGGUGCUAACGUCCGUCGUGAAGAGGGAAACAACCCAGACCGCCAGCUAAGGUCCCAAAGUCAUGGUUAAGUGGGAAACGAUGUGGGAAGGCAUAGACAGCCAGGAUGUUGGCUUAGAAGCAGCCAUCAUUUAAAGAAAGCGUAAUAGCUCACUGGUCGAGUCGGCCUGCGCGGAAGAUGUAACGGGGCUAAACCAUGCACCGAAGCUGCGGCAGCGACGCUUAGGCGUUGUUGGGUAGGGGAGCGUUCUGUAAGCCGUUGAAGGUGGCCUGUGAGGGUUGCUGGAGGUAUCAGAAGUGCGAAUGCUGACAUAAGUAACGAUAAAGCGGGUGAAAAGCCCGCUCGCCGGAAGACCAAGGGUUCCUGUCCAACGUUAAUCGGGGCAGGGUGAGUCGACCCCUAAGGCGAGGCUGAAAAGCGUAGUCGAUGGGAAACAGGUUAAUAUUCCUGUACUUGGUGUUACUGCGAAGGGGGGACGGAGAAGGCUAGGCUAGCCGGGCGACGGUUGUCCCGGUUUAAGCGUGUAGGGGGUGUGACCUGGUAAAUCCGGUU